AACGCACAUUGCGCCCAUUGGUAUUCCGAUGGGCAUGCCUGUUCGAGCGUCAUUAUCCUCCCUCAAACCUCGUGUUUGGUGUUGGACCGCGUUGGCCGAGCGACCAACUGGUCUCAAAGACAAUGACGGCGUCCGUGGGACCCUCGGUGCAACGAGCUUCUAAGGAGCACGCGUCGAGUUUCAAGGACCCUCCGGGCCGGUCUUAACCUCUAUCUUCUCAGGUUGACCUCGGAUCAGGUAGGAAUACCCGCUGAACUUAA
rnacentral:misc_RNA from 1 species